CUGCCGGUGGACCAUUAAACUCUUGUUAUUUUAUGUAAUCUGAGCGUCUUAUUUUAAUAAGUCAAAACUUUCAACAACGGAUCUCUUGGUUCUGGCAUCGAUGAAGAACGCAGCGAAAUGCGAUAAGUAAUGUGAAUUGCAGAAUUCAGUGAAUCAUCGAAUCUUUGAACGCACAUUGCGCCCAUUAGUAUUCUAGUGGGCAUGCCUGUUCGAGCGUCAUUUCAACCCUUAAGCCUAGCUUAGUGUUGGGAAUCUACUUCUCUUAGGAGUUGUAGUUCCUGAAAUACAACGGCGGAUUUGUAGUAUCCUCUGAGCGUAGUAAUUUUUUUCUCGCUUUUGUUAGGUGCUAUAACUCCCCAGCCCGC
rnacentral:rRNA from 1 species